CCCGACGGCAGUCUGACUGAAAAAACCGACAGGCAUGUUUACAAAAAUUAAUGUCUUACUCAUUGAAUGUUCAGUUUCCCGUUUUUUCCUGUUUUCACGUACAUAUUUGGUUGAAAAUUAUCAAAAUUCACCAGUUCAACAUAAAACUUGCAGCGCAGUCGAUAAAAAGAACAUUUCAGAACAUUCUUGCAGCUGUGUGGAUGAAUAAUCCAAAUGCGAACGUAGCUGGUAAAUCCACGAAUAAUGGCGCAGCCUUGGGCGUAUUUCACAAUCAAAAAAAAAUGUCGGAGCAGAUGCCGGAAUCAAUGAAUUUACGAGUGGAAUUACAGUGCGGGUCGUGUAAUUUAUACCUUUAUUAAUGUGGCACGAAAAAGUUGUAACUUGGUUCGGGAAGUGCACAUAAAAUAAAUCUACAAUCGUCGUUAUGAUCAAUUA